rnacentral:rRNA from 1 species
UACAGAGGUGGCAAGCGUUGUUCGGAAUUACUGGGCGUAAAGGGCGCGUAGGCGGCCCGUCAAGUCCCGUGUGAAAGCCCCCGGCUCAACCGGGGAACGGCGCGGGAAACUAGCAGGCUUGAGUUCGGGAGAGGGAAGCGGAAUUCCGGGUGUAGCGGUGAAAUGCGCAGAUAUCUGGAGGAACACCGGUGGCGAAGGCGGCAUCCUGGACCGGUAUUGACGCGUGAGGCGCGGAAAGCCAGGGGAGCAAACGGGG